CCAAAAAUUUUGGUACCGAUGGUCGGCCAUUUAAUUACAAGCAACAACUGUCCGUCAUGUGUUUGGGAUUCCGCGAUUAUUUGGCCAUUCAGCCCAGUGGGGACUACAAAUACUUCGAAGGGUGGGAAGCAUGUGUACAGGUGUUCUUUCAAAAUGCCCUGUCGUUUGGCCACCCUUCUUAUGAUGACAUUGAGGAUUAUAUUAUAUGCAUAGUGAGAGAUUGACAGUUGUGGCAAGCGAGACCUCGGUACCAACU